UCCUGCUAACCUUGCUCUUAUUUGACUGGAGUCAGCCCACCCCAAUUCAGGAGUCCCCCAUGGCCACAUCCGUCACACUGCACUGACAUUUCUUUAUCCCUGUUAGCUCCCUUCUUGAUUCUCCUAUGAAGGACCUGCCUUGCUCCUUGAAACCCCAUGGCUUCUCCCAGGAAACAGCCUCAGGGCUCAGAAAAGAAGCCCCGAAGAUGGAUCUAGGGAAGGUGGAGCCCCCUACAGACGUCCGUGGCUCAAGUCGGGAGAGAACGCUUUGCAUCUGAUUUACAAACUGUUUCCUGGGCAACACGUGACUGUACAAGGCCCCAUCCUCAUUUUUGAAAUUCUUCCUGUCUUCCCCAUGCAGGUAGCUCUCUUGACUGCCUUCCUCUCCAGGUAAUGAUGUCCCACAUCUGCCACGGCCCCCACCCCAUCCUAUACCACCCCCAAAGCUGAGCACCACACUGGAUCUUGAACAGACCUCCAUUACCUCACUUAACCUUGGCUCCCAUAGUCAUUAGAGGAAGGUUAUUUUUUUUUUCACGUUCUUAACUUUGACCAGAAAAAGAAUCUCUAGGCCCCAUCAUCUAUUGUGGAAUAUGUUGGGAACUGCACGCUGGCAAUUCGAUCAGAGGCACAAACAGCCUUAAUAUCAGCAGAACUGAAAAGUACCCAUGUAUGAGGACUGGCCAGCUCACCAUGAGAAGGCAACGACCCAUUCCCCAUGGAGUAAGGCACUCACCAACCACCUAUAUAAACCAGUCUCCCAACAAGAUGAAAUUUGGACAUGAGUCCUGUCUUCUCCUUGAGCUAGCUACGUAAAUAAAAACCCCUUCUGUCCCUCA